rnacentral:ncRNA from 3 species
GCUACCGUGCGCUGGAUUAUGACUGAA